UGGGGAAUAUUGGACAAUGGGCGCAAGCCUGAUCCAGCCAUGCCGCGUGAGUGAUGAAGGCCCUAGGGUUGUAAAGCUCUUUCACCGGUGAAGAUAAUGACGGUAACAGGAGAAGAAGCCCCGGCUAACUUCGUGCCAGCAGCCGCGGUAAUACGAAGGGGGCUAGCGUUGUUCGGAUUUACUGGGCGUAAAGCGCACGUAGGCGGACUAUUAAGUCAGGGGUGAAAUCCCGGGGCUCAACCCCGGAACUGCCUUUGAUACUGGUAGUCUUGAGUUCGAGAGAGGUGAGUGGAAUUCCGAGUGUAGAGGUGAAAUUCGUAGAUAUUCGGAGGAACACCAGUGGCGAAGGCGGCUCACUGGCUCGAUACUGACGCUGAGGUGCGAAAGCGUGGGGAGCAAACAGG
rnacentral:rRNA from 1 species